rnacentral:rRNA from 1 species
GACGAACGCUGGCGGCGUGCUUAACACAUGCAAGUCGAACGGAAAGGCCCUGCUUUUGUGGGGUGCUCGAGUGGCGAACGGGUGAGUAACACGUGAGUAACCUGCCCUUGACUUUGGGAUAACUUCAGGAAACUGGGGCUAAUACCGGAUAGGAGCUCCUGCUGCAUGGGGUGGGUUGGAAAGUUUCGGCGGUUGUGGAUGGACUCGCGGCUUAUCAGCUUGUUGGUGGGGUAGUGGCUUACCAAGGCUUUGACGGGUAGCCGGCCUGAGAGGGUGACCGGCCACAUUGGGACUGAGAUACGGCGCAGACUCCUACGGGAGGCAGCAGUGGAGAAUAUUGCACAAUGGGCGGAAGCCUGAUGCAGCAACGCCGCGUGCGGGAUGACGGCCUUCGGGUUGUAAACCGCUUUCGCCUGUGACGAAGCGUGAGUGACGGUAAUGGGUAAAGAAGCACCGGCUAACUACGUG